rnacentral:rRNA from 1 species
GUGAGGAAUUUUCCGCAAUGGGCGAAAGCCUGACGGAGCAAUGCCGCGUGAAGGAUGAAGGCCUAUGGGUUGUAAACUUCUUUUCUCAGAAAAGAAUUAUGACGGUAUCUGAGGAAUAAGCAUCGGCUAACUCUGUGCCAGCAGCCGCGGUAAGACAGAGGAUGCAAGCGUUAUCCGGAAUGAUUGGGCGUAAAGCGUCUGUAGGUUGUUUAAAAAGUAUUCUGUCAAAGAUUAGGGCUUAACCCUAGAUAGGCAGAAUAAACUUUUAAGCUAGAGUUUGGUAGAGGCAGAAGGAAUUCCCGGUGGAGCGGUGAAAUGCGGAGAGAUCGGGAGGAACACCAAAGGCGAAGGCACUCUGCUGGGCCAAUACUAACACUGAGAGACGAAAGCGAGGGGAGCAAAUGGGAUUAGAUACCCUGGUAGUCC